rnacentral:rRNA from 1 species
UACAGAGGGUGCAAGCGUUGUUCGGAAUUAUUGGGCGUAAAGCGCGUGUAGGCGGCAGCGUAAGUCGGGCGUGAAAUCCCACGGCUCAACCGUGGAAGUGCACUCGAAACUGCGCAGCUAGAGUCCUGGAGAGGAAGGUGGAAUGCUUGGUGUAGAGGUGAAAUUCGUAGAUAUCAAGCGGAACACCGGUGGCGAAGGCGGCCUUCUGGACAGUGACUGACGCUGAGACGCGAAAGCGUGGGGAGCAAACAGG